AUUGAACGCUGGCGGCAGGCCUAACACAUGCAAGUCGAACGGUAACAGGAAACAGCUUGCUGUUUCGCUGACGAGUGGCGGACGGGUGAGUAAUGUCUGGGAAACUGCCUGAUGGAGGGGGAUAACUACUGGAAACGGUAGCUAAUACCGCAUAACGUCGCAAGACCAAAGAGGGGGACCUUCGGGCCUCUUGCCAUCGGAUGUUCCCAGAUGGGAUUAGCUAGUAGGUGGGGUAACGGCUCACCUAGGCGACGAUCCCUAGCUGGUCUGAGAGGAUGACCAGCCACACUGGAACUGAGACACGGUCCAGACUCCUACGGGAGGCAGCAGUAGGGAAUAUUGCGCAAUGGGCGCAAGCCUGAUGCAGCCAUGCCGCGUGUAUGAAGAAGGCCUUCGGGUUGUAAAGUACUUUCAGCGGGGAGGAAGGGAGUAAAGUUAAUACCUUUACUCAUUGACGUUACCCGCAGAAGAAGCACCGGCUAACUCCGUG
rnacentral:rRNA from 1 species